UUCCAAAGAGAUAUCUUCAAUUGACACAUCAUUUAUUUGUUCUUUCAACUUUCUCCCUUCAUCGUUCUCUACUUUGAUCGCUGCAAAUCUCUUUUUAUUUUCCCCCAUUCAUCUCAGAUGUUGCUUUUGCUUAGGAGAUCAUACUAAAUCGAAGCUUCUCAUGUUUAAAGCUAUAUUCCCUUUCAAAAUUUAGUUGCAGGUAUGUCUAUUGAAGCUGCAUUAGCUUUAUCUACCUUUGGAGAAUGACUUGAUUAAUUGAAGUGAUUGAAGGUAGUCAGUCUGAUGAUUCACUUUAUUCAAGACACUGCAGUUCAUCGACGUCACUUGUGCUUACUGCCUUCUUUGCUAUCAAUCUUAUUCUACCAUCUGUUAUUGCAAGAGAUGGACUUGACUCUUGAGGCUCAUCGCACUAGCAUGGGAAGUGCCCGACAUGUUUGAACAAGUUAUUGGCAGCUUCCUUAAUGUGCUCUAUCUGCACACACAUCUAAAUUGAUUGGGUCAGUAUAUUUCAAAUAUCGAAUGAUUAUGACGAAGAAAAAGGACCGAUGAACUUCUUGAUUGGGAUGAAAAAUCUAUUAGGAAGUGCUUCUUUCUUAAUAUAUUUUAUGUGGUAGCAGAGAUAUUUUCUUCUUGCGUUUUAACUAUAACUUGGGGAAGCACAUUGAAGGAGCUUUAGGAGUUUUCGAGGAUAUCACUAACAUUGAAGAUUACUUUGAAGCUGUUGAAUUGAGGGCCACUGUGAUCAAUUUGAAGAACAUUUGUGUCUUACCUUUAUCUGGAGAAACAUUUUAAGUGCAAAAAGAAAUUUGUGUAAUACACAAACGCAGAUGCUUUUGUUUUCCCACGUAUAUGCAAUAUUAUUAUCUCCUCCAAUGCAAUGACAUUGUAUCACUUUUAACCUACUAUUGUAAAAAUUAUGUCUUUUAUAUAUUACACCAUUUUUUCUGAAA